UCGCCACGUCAGCACUCGGCCGCCCUCAGCCCCGCCCAUAGGGGUGGAGUCGGGUGUCUUCUAUGCUAACACGGUUCAGCUCUGUUUCUGAGGUGGGACUCUCGGUUUCCUCUGGCCAGCCGACUGACUCCUGCUGCCUCCUCUUCCCCUCCCCAAUCCCUGCUGGGCUCUGAUAACUGCACAGAGGACUUAAUUCUUACAGAAGGCAGAAACCAGUGAGUCAAAGAGUCCGGUGGUUACUAGAUGGUCCCGCCCACCUGCUCUAGGCUCAAGUUUCGUUUUCCCUGAGUUUCAUUUUUCUCCACUUCUGGAGUUAUUUCUGACCUUCAAAACAAAACAUCUGACGAUAGCCUUGUGCAACUGGCAAAUUUAGAAAAGCUAGCCUAAAAAACUGCAUUGUUAAGUUUGUACUGCUGAGCAAGGAUGCAGAUGUGGUAUGCAUUGUCAUCCUACUCUUUCUUCCUGAGGCCCUUGUCCUAAUACUCAUUAGAACCUUUUUUUAUAGAAGAAGCGUUGAUUGAAUAAUAAACUUCACUUGCCAGACCCACUGGGAGUUCUGUAUACCAGACUAAUUAUGGAACUGAAGGAGUGAUUGUAUUCCAGCUGGGUCACACAGACCUAGAGGGUCUUUGGAUGUGAGUCCCUAGCCAGAGCAUUAAAACUCCUCUACACCAUCACUUGUAAGUCCAAUUACAAGACUGAGAAGAGAACAAAACUACUGGAGAGAAAAAAGACUCAAAACUCCUGAAAGAGGCUCUGAAUUACUAAUGGGAAAGCUGGAAAGUUUGAGCUUAAUGAAAGUACAGAUAACAACCUGGAUGAUAAGAACCACAACUGUAACACAUUAAGCGACCAAAACUACCCACCCCAACAUAAAGGAUUGGAACAAUGGUCUUCUUAUAUGUUACUGCUGAAUUGGGGUGAAGAAUUCCUGUUUUGGGCUCCAAGGAAAAAGAUGGUUACCCUGAAAAAAAAGGUAGCUCUAGCAUUUAUCUCUGGGUUUAUCCAGUUUGUAUUAUCUGUUGUUUGGGCUCUAAGGAAGGAGGGGGGGGGAAUAGUUAGUCUGAGAAAAGCUAGCGUAGCCUUUAUUACCCGGUUUUUGUAUUUACCCAGUCUCUGCCUUGUCUAUUCAGUCUGUGUGUUGUCUGUCUCUUUGUGAGUGAUCAUUUGAACUAGCCCUUUUGAAGAUGAUUUGAAUGCAUUUCUUUUUUUUGAGAAAUCAGUAAUGGAGGCAGUCUGUGAAUCAUUUGGGCUAUUUGCUUUGUGAAGACACCCAUGUCUCAAAGGAUAAAAGGUUUUCUUUGGUCAGAUCUGAUUUUUAUAAGUUUUGUUGAUAUCCAUAUUUUUUCAUUCUUUGUAGAUAUAUAAGUCCCCAUCUUAAAACUAUUGCAGGUUUUUAUUCUAAUAUCAACACAUCCUUAAAGUAUAUUGGUUGGCCUAGUUCCUCAGUUUUGUUUUGUUUUGUUUUUUUGAUAAACCAAUGUCUCUCAGCUGCAGUUGUUCCUUUUUUCACUAACAUUAAGAAAUUUGAGAGUAAACAAUGCACUAUUUAGUCUGUCCCUGGGAGUUUUUACUCUCCCUUUCUGUUUUCUCCACUUUUAAGGUACAAUUGGCUCUUUCUAUAAUUGCUUGUCCUGUGGGAUUGUGUAGUAUACCAGUAACAUGCUUUUAUAAUAUGCGAAGAGUUGCUUUUUCUUAUUGGGUACAUAUGCAGGAGCACUGGCAGUUUUAAUUUGUGCAGGUAUCCCCAUAAUUGCCAUUUCCAAUAAAUGUGUAAUUACAUAUUUCAGGCACCUAGAAGAAGGGCAGGGCAGCAGUUUACUUCCAGCCUAGUUUGCUUCCCCAUUUCAUGAUGCAGGACAUUCCCGUUCUCAUUCACCAAGCAUGAACUUUUCUCUCCUUACAGUGCCCUUUUUGUUUUCCAAGCACUUCUACCUCUAUCUGCAAAUUCUCUAAAUGGAUAGCCAAUUCUGAAGUCUUCUCUAACAGUAGAGAAUUGACUGGUCUCUCAUUAAACUUUUUCAAAAUAGUAUGCAUGAAAACUACAAAGCAAAACCAAAACACCCCUUCUGGGAUCAAGGCAGGAUACCACCCAGCUGCCAUUUUACCAAACUACUUAAGCAAUAUUGCUAACUGCUCAUAAUCUGCCAUUUCCUUUACAUUAGAAAUAGAGUUACCCAUUAUGCCUUAGCCACAAUGGGUGACACCUGUAAUUUCCACGAUUUCAAACUUUAUUUUUAAUGAUGAUUCUUGAAUGCUUUGUAGCCCACCACUCACCAGAGGUAGUGGAAAAGAAAGGGGGCUGGGGUGGACUUGUUUAGACAGGUUCUUUGGAGCAACAGGUAGCUAUCAGGGAGUCAUGAUUCAUGAAGGGCAAGGUUGAUGUUAAGCAUAAAAUUGCUGAUCUCAUGGCCCAAUAGUCUUGACCUAAGCUACAUUUAGCACUAUAUCUACAGCACUGUUGGUUAGUUUGAAGAUUAAACUAUCCCUUUAUUCAAUUGUUACAUAUUUAGUAUCUAUUGUAAGUCAGAAAUAUUGAAAUAAAAAUUAUUUGGACUUUUGCAGUUAGUAACCAUCUCAAGUACACAUACCUGCUGCCUGUCAGACAUUGUACUAAGUACUGACAAACUUAUUGCUAACAAACUGUGAAAGUAUAUCCAUUACUAUCUAACUUCUUAUUCCAACUAGUCAGGGAAUGGAAGCAGCCUGGAUGUCUAUCGUCUGAUGAAAGGUUAGUGAAGAUGUGAAGCACAUACACAGUCGAAUAAUAUUAAAUUGUAAAGAAAAAUGAAAUUUACAGGUAAAUGGAUAGAACUGGAAAUAAUCAUUCUGAAUGACAUAACCAGGACACAGGAAGACAAAUGCUGAGCGUUACUUCUCAUAUGCUGAUUCUUUAGAGAUAUGUGUUUAAGUUAGAAUAAGUUACAUGUCCAAAAGCUAGUAAUGGCUUAUGGGGUUAGGAUUUGAAGGGAAAGGUAAUAAAAUACAAGUGGCAUGGAGGAAGAAUGGGGAAAAAUAGAACAAGAAUGGUUAAAUGGAGUGAGAGAAGAGGAGCAGGGCUGUGGAAUAAGUAUGGACAUAGAUAACGAACACUAAAGAUCUUUGAAAAUGCCAUGUGCAAGCCUACUGCUGUAGAAGCUUCCUAAAAUAUACACACAAUUAGAGCCACCCUAUAAUUAGAGUAAUACCUGCUCCAAACACCAUGGGCUAUAAUAACUUUUUUUAAUAGAGAGAAAUGCUCUCUGUCCUCAUUUUUUAUUGGAUUUUUUAUUUACAUUUCAAAGGUUAUUCCCUUUAUAAUAACUUUUUUUUUAAAGAGACAGAUAUGGGUUUCUUUUUGAUCAGUGUGAUCCCUCAGAUACUGUCUAAACAUUACAGGCCACUGCCAUUGCUCUGGGUUAUCCUCCAGAACUUGGUAACAAGAUCCUACUGCUAAAGAUACAUGUACUUGAGUUAUAGGAUAUUGAGAAAUCAAGCCCAUAUGUAAUGGAUCACUACUGACUAGCUUUCAUAGUACUAGAAAGUACUAUCCAUGCUACUUGGGGGAAAAUAAUCAAUAGUCCUACCCAGCCAUAAAUCUUGCAAGCUACAAUACCAACAAGCUCAGAAAGAUAUGUCCACCAGUAGGAAAAUAACUAGCCAAUUUCCUAUUUGAUCUAAAGCUGUACUCAUAAGACAGAACUCCUGCCUAAUGUCCUUAACCACACCAAGAGUCUGCAGCUGGUGAGGUUAUAGACCCUAAAGAAGAAUCUAAUACUAUUUCUCUGCUAAAUGUACAUAGUAGUAAACUAUCCCUAUGCUCUUACCUUUAUAACCAUAGAUUCAUAAAUCUCUCAACCCCUCAUGAGAGAAACUGCAUUUUGAGGUAAAUGGUGAUUAGACACAUUCAUAGCCAGACACUGCAGAGAAUAAGACACUGUGGUUUGGAGAGCUCUUGGGGCUGCUUCUAGAAAUUUGGCAAGCAUUUGUCACUGGGCUGGGACAAGAUCAGAUACGAAUAUUUAUAUUUACAUUUAGGCUAAUACAAAGCUUAAGGCAAACUCAGCCAAGGAAUGUGUGGCAUUCCUUUUAUCUUGGUAAUCCUGAUAAACCCUAGACCUAGUGACUACAGAACUCUGUUAUUGCCUUGUUUGAUUAUUUUAUCUUUGAUCUAAGAAUUGACCCUAUUCUUUGGAUGUAUGGAGAGUGGUAUAAAAGCAGACAAGAAAAAAAACCUGCUUCAGCCUUAGCACUGGCUGGAGUCAUAUUAUAAUGUUGUUUAAUUACUUUUUUUUCUUUUCAAUCCUCACUCCUUCCCUCCAGACCCCAUUGGCUGACUGAGCUGUCUUGGUCACUGUGGGGUGUUCUGCUCUAAAUGGAACAUCUGUAUUGAACCUCCUUCCUUCAAUCUCAGGGAUCAUCACAGAAAAAGAGGAAAAAACACUGGAAGAGUCACAGGUGGUGGAUGUAUUCAGUGAAACUGUAUGGAAAUGGCAAUGCCAUUCCACACAUGAAUUCAUGGUGGCUGUUAUUGCAUGUACAAGACCUGCAUAAGAUCAAACCAGUCAAAAUCCUAGUAUAGUUGGGGAGAGUUUGUAAUGAACUCCUACCCUUACCUGAGAACAUAUUGGGAACUGAUGGCUGCUGGAUGAAGAAGGGAAUCAGUUUUCUCCAGAGGUUUGUUCUCUCUCCCUGCUUCUAGGAUUUUGUUUUUUUGUUUUUUUUAAUAUCAAGAGAAGAAGUUUAUGAUGGGGAGAACUUUGUCAUUUGUUUAUUUAUUUUUUAAUUCAUAAAAGGAAAGCUAGGGAUAGAUGACAUUAGUACUUAAUGACAGCCCAGAAGAAACAUAGUAAGUAAUAAUUCAGGGUUAUCAGUAGGAAAGUAGAUUCUAAUUUCAUAUAGGGUAGAUAUCUGCCCAGCUCUAGUGCUGAUUAAGGCUUAUUGUAAAUAGAAAAGGAGGAGGAGAAGGAAGAGGAAGAGAAGGAAGAGAAGGAGGAAAAGGAAGAGAGGGAGAAGGGGAGAAGGAGACUGGCACCAAGGAGGUGAAAUCUUCUGGGAAGUGUUUUCUGAGAGCACAAAGAAACUGUGUUUUAGAGAAAGACUCAUGCUGAGAUGCAGACCUGGUAAUGUGUAAGAAAAUCCUGGUGAUACUGAUUAUGAAGGUGUGAAGGGGUUAUGGAAAACAAUUGAGGCUUAGUACUGGGAAGGCUCAGGAAAGGCCACUGGUGAAGGUUCAGCCUCAAGGAAGUUGAACGCCCAGUACUGAAGGGGUCAUGAAAGAAGUUCGAGGCUUAGUACCAUCAAGAGAGAAUCUUCCUGUCUACUUUCAGAAGACAAGUCUCAUUGGCUGCCUUCAUUGGUGCAUCCUCUAGCAUCAUGUCUACUUGCAUUCUGCUGUGCUUCCUGCCAUGAUAAUAAUAGACUAAAUCUCUGAAACUGUAAGGCAGUCCCAUUUAAAUGUUUGCCUUUAUAAGAGUUGACUUGGGACAUGUCUCUUCAUAGCAAUGAAACUGUAACCAAGACAAACCCUAUCCCUCAUCUCUGGUCCACCUUCAACAGAUUCACAUUCUGUAUCACCAAUUGCUCAGCACCCCCUCCACCAAUAGCAAUUAGGUAGCUUUCCCCUUUGGUCAGUGUAAACAUUUUCCAGAGUACAAGGAAGUACCAUUGAGUGUCUGGUACCCCUCUGACACUUUUAGAGCCAGCCAUGGUUUUUUAAGGUUAUAGCUGCCCUCUUCACCUGAUCCCACCCCCACCAUACUCAGAGCUGCAAUCCUAUAAUUUCCUUUGACCUAAAAGGACCAUUGCACCCCUUCUUGUCCUCAUAUCCUACCUUCCCUUUGGAUUUGCUCAUAAUCCCAUAGUUCCUCUAGACCCUGGUCCCUGGUGGCUUUUGUGACUUUUUUCUCCAACUCCUUCCUGUGGAUCACAUACCACACACACACACAUACACACACACACACACACACACACACACACACACACACACACACACACACCAAAGUUCAGUUUUCAUCCUCACCUUCUGGCCCUUUCUCCUUCUGGCCUCUAUGAAAGCCCUGGUACCAGGCACUGAGUCUCCCCUAAAGCUUAGCCAGGCUAUGCACUUGACCUCUGCUGAGUACAGUGAAGGUCCAGUGAAAGGCUUCAGUCUUACUCUAGUCCUUCCAGAGUUCUGCAAGACACCCAAGGCUACAGGUUAGUUACAGAGACAAUUUUACUUACUUCUCAUUUAUGUGAAUGGUGCCUUCCAUGCCUUCUCAUUCUUCUUGGGAUGCCUUUCAGAAAACCUGCAGCCUCUCCACUUGACACCCAACAUGAAAGUCUCUAAACUUGUUUACCUUUGCAAUCAAAUUUGGCCUCAAUAGUCCUGGACAAUCAAUCCAAAUGGCUGCAUAACAGCACACUAGAUUCAUAAUAUUUUUCAGGACAUUUACAACAACUUUGAGCCAUAGGGGCAGUGGAAAGAGAUUCCCUUUGUCCAUGCUUUCUCUUGUCAGCUCCAAGCCUCUCUGUUCUUCCUGUUCUCCCAUUCAUCUUCUUGUAGUGGUGAAGCCUGGCCAAGAUGAUUCCUCCCCUAUUUUAGAUCCAGUUGACAAGCUUUCCCCAUAGAUAUCAACCCACAGCUCACUCUCCUCUUCUAACCUCCUUGGUUUACCUUUCUCCCUCCUAAAUGAAAACUGCUCAAAUUAACCCUCCCUGGCACCUGCUGUAAGUGCACUGUCACCCCCUAGUCUUCCUGCUGCUCUUUCCUGCUCUCCCCCACCCAGUCUAAACAGGCUAUAGUUCUCUAUCUGCGGACAGUUGCCAGGGUGACAGCUUAGUCAGGGAACAUGUCUGCUUAGUAAGUAAACGUUCUCAAAUAUAAAAGAUUUGGGGUUCUAUACCACUAAUUCUUCUAUCUUUAUUAAAGAAUUCCAGUGCAAUAUCCAAUCUUAUAACCUCAUCUUCUAUAACAUUUGUAUGAUUCUUACCAAGGAGUGUAGGCAAGUCUGGGACUAGGCAGACCAAGCACCUGCAGAUGAAAUCCAUCAAACUAAUGCCACCCACCCAGCUGCUAUAAUGCCACCCUCAAGGCUAACACUUCCAUUUGGGAAGACUUUCUACUCAGAGCUAUAAUUCCCCUAAGUGUAUUUUACACUUAAAAUAUAUCUUCAAGGUUCCAUUAAAUAUUUUAUCCUUAAGUGUGAUGGACAACUAAUGAAGAAAGAGAAAAUCUGUCUAUGCUUGAACAUAAAACUCUCAGGUUUGCAAACUUUGAACAGACCUCAUAAUAUUUAUAAUGACAAUAAAGAAACCUUACUAAUAGUUG